GUCGAACGAUGAUGCCCAGCUUGCUGGGUUGAUUAGUGGCGAACGGGUGAGUAACACGUGAGUAACCUGCCCCUGACUCUGGGAUAAGCGUUGGAAACGACGUCUAAUACUGGAUAUGAUCGCCGGCCGCAUGGUCUGGUGGUGGAAAGAUUUUUUGGUUGGGGAUGGACUCGCGGCCUAUCAGCUUGUUGGUGAGGUAAUGGCUCACCAAGGCGACGACGGGUAGCCGGCCUGAGAGGGUGACCGGCCACACUGGGACUGAGACACGGCCCAGACUCCUACGGGAGGCAGCAGUGGGGAAUAUUGCACAAUGGGCGAAAGCCUGAUGCAGCAACGCCGCGUGAGGGAUGACGGCCUUCGGGUUGUAAACCUCUUUUAGUAGGGAAGAAGCGAAAGUGACGGUACCUGCAGAAAAAGCACCGGCUAACUACGUGCCAGCAGCCGCGGUAAUACGUAGGGUGCAAGCGUUGUCCGGAAUUAUUGGGCGUAAAGAGCUCGUAGGCGGUUUGUCGCGUCUGCUGUGAAAUCCCGAGGCUCAACCUCGGGCUUGCAGUGGGUACGGGCAGACUAGAGUGCGGUAGGGGAGAUUGGAAUUCCUGGUGUAGCGGUGGAAUGCGCAGAUAUCAGGAGGAACACCGAUGGCGAAGGCAGAUCUCUGGGCCGUAACUGACGCUGANGAGCGAAAGCNUGGGGAGCGAANAGGAUUAGAUACCCUGGUAGUCCAUGCCGUAAACGUUGGGCGCUAGAUGUAGGGACNUUUCCNCGGUUUCUGUGUCGUA
rnacentral:rRNA from 1 species